GGCCUGGUGGCACAGCGUUAGUGCACCUGUAUAUAAUCAAAGUUGCGAACAGUUUAUGCAGAUGAUGCUGGUUCGAGUCCGGCUUGGGUCC